GCCCUUGUAGCUCAAUGGACAGAGCAGCGCUCUUCUAAGGCGUUGAUCCGGGUUCGACUCCUGGCAAGGGCA
rnacentral:tRNA from 1 species